AUUGUGCAAGAUUUGAUUAGAGAUAUUGAAGUCGGAAAGUACCCAUUUCUCAAUUUUAAGGGUUAUUCGUUGGGCAAUCCGGUUA